rnacentral:rRNA from 1 species
UACGAGGGGAGCAAGCGUUGUUCGGAUUUACUGGGCGUAAAGGGUGCGUAGGCGGCAGCACAAGUCACUUGUGAAAUCUUUGGGCUUAACCCAAAGCGGCCAAGUGAGACUGUGGAGCUAGAGUGGAGAAGGGGCAACUGGAAUUCCCGGUGUAGCGGUGAAAUGCGUAGAUAUCGAGAGGAACACCUGCGGCGAAGGCGGGUCGCUGGGCUGACACUGACGCUGAGGCACGAAAGCUAGGGUAGCAAACGGG